rnacentral:rRNA from 1 species
CACUGUUUGGACUAGGGGCCCUUCUCGGGUUACCGAAUUCAGAUAAACUCCGAAUGCCAUGUACUUAUACUCGGGAGUCAGACUGCGAGUGAUAAGAUCCGUAGUCGAAAGGGAAACAGCCCAGACCACCAGUUAAGGUCCCCAAAUAUAUGUUAAGUGGAAAAGGAUGUGGGGUUGCUUAGACAACCAGGAUGUUGGCUUAGAAGCAGCCACCAUUGAAAGAGUGCGUAAUAGCUCACUGGUCGAGUGACCCCGCGCCGAAAAUGUACCGGGGCUAAACAUAUUA